CUCUUAAUUCCCUGUCUCCUCUCCUCUCCCGAUCCAUCCAUCCAUAUCUCUCCCAUCUUUCUCUCCGCUCAAGCCCUCGACUACAUCACGGUGCACCGCGCCUCUGCCCCCACCUCCUUCUGCCGCCCGCCCGCGCCUUGCCGCUAGGUUAGGUCACCCACGAACUACCGACGCACCACGCCGCGCCAUCGACCUACGAAUCUACGAUCGCGGAGAAGUUGCAGAUCAUGGGAGAGCGGCCAUGCUCUGCCUAGAGAUGUCAUCUGUGGUGCCAUCUUCUUGCAUCGCCCGUGUGGAAAUUGGUACAUCGGUUUUUUUUUGCGGGGAAAUACAGGUACAUCGUUGAUCACAAAUGGACACAUAUCUUCCCAAACGAAAAGCAACAUCACAAGAAGUCCAACCUCGCACUUUUGAAUUUCCGUAACCAUCGAGAAGAAAAUAGCAGAAGGUUUAUUCCCAGGUUACAUUUAUUAUUUUCACUUCAUAAUUUGAUGUCACAUCUGGUUACUUUACAUGUACUACUAUGCUGGAUUAUAGGUAGGAUGAAUUAUUCUACUACCGUCAACUUUCCCUUACGAGUGGCAUCAAUAAUUGUGAGUGUAUUAACUCAGUAAGAACUUGAUCGUCCCUUAUUUGUUAUCAUAUGGUAGUGUGUCGUUUGUUUUUCUGAAUUUUAUAUGCAAAGAAUUUUUAAAUACCUUACCGUCAGAGGGAUUGAACUAAAUAUGUUUGCACCAUUGUUAAAGUUGUGUACCAGGGUUGAUUUUCUCCAGCUCGGCCCUGUUGAUCGCCACUGCUGUACACGCAACCAGAGCGUCUACCAUGUUGACCGCUAACACCAAUACGCAAGAAGAAACCUUCCCCGGUGGCGGUGAGGAACAUGACGAAGUUGUCGGUGCAUGAGUGUAUCUACGAGGUGAGGCCGGUGGGCUAUAGCUUUGUGGUGAUCUUUUAGCUGUAACUUCGAAGUUUUCUUCCCUUGCAAAAGAAGCGGAGCUGGUAGCCUACAUAUUAUUUUUGUCAAAUAAAAGACAUUUGUUCAUUGUUUUCCUAAUUCUUUUAUGAGAAUUAAUUUACCAAGUAAAA